GAUGAAGAACGCAGCGAAAUGCGAUAAGUAGUGUGAAUUGCAGAAUUCAGUGAAUCAUCGAAUCUUUGAACGCACAUUGCGCCCUUUGGUAUUCCAAAGGGCAUGCCUGUUCGAGCGUCAUUUGUACCCUCAAGCUUUGCUUGGUGUUGGGCGUCUUGUCUCUAGCUUUGCUGGAGACUCGCCUUAAAGUAAUUGGCAGCCGGCCUACUGGUUUCGGAGCGCAGCACAAGUCGCACUCUCUAUCAGCAAAGGUCUAGCAUCCACUAAGCCUUUUUUUCAACUUUUGACCUCGGAUCAGGGAGGGAUACCCGCUGAACUUAAGCAUAUCAAUAAGCGGAGGA
rnacentral:misc_RNA from 1 species